CAACCACCGCCUGUAACCUUAUAAUGCGGUUGAGCAUAUAAAUAGGGGUUCUAUAACCAAAGGUACCAUCCUCUGCCCACGUGGCUGGCCCAUAAUAAUCUAUAAUACGCUGGGGAGGCCAUUCAUUAUCUUCCCAGGCACCUAUCUCUAUGGGUCCCCUUUUCUUCCUAUGAUUCACAUCAUACACUUUAACACCUAAAGUCUCACCUGUUUCAAUAGGCAACAAGAAGAAGG